UGCCGGUGGCACCGAAUAAGCCUCGCUCAGUGGUCGGGGUCGGCAAUAAUCUUCUUUGUCGUUUUCGUUCUCACUGCAUACGGAAUUUCCACAAUUUAUCGACGGAGCGCUCUCAUUGGCUUGAGAAAAGAUGGCGACGUCUCCACCGGGACAUUCCAGCAAUUGCCAUGCGAGUUUUUCGAGGCCGAAACGCGCCGCGAAAUGUAGCAAGGUUGGAUACUCUUCGGGACCUGUGAAAAAGGAAGCGACUGAUGUGAACGAGUUUUGCGCCCAAGGAACGAGCUGAUCCACCAAAAAUCGGUGCAGCUCCACUCGGAGUUGACAACAGAUCGAAUCUGGGCGGCAAAUUCUUCUGGAAUGCAUUCACCAUCCAAUUGUCCAAUUGUUCACGGUCUCCGGGGUUGAAACCAAAAGUCUGAAGAAGACAACGCGAAACGAGUGGAAAAGUAACGGAAAAAUGACGAAUUUAUUUCCAACUUUAGUGCUUCGAUCACUCGAAGAUUUCUCGUUCCAAAAUUGAAUUAUCUUGACGUUUAUCAAGGUUAGCAUCGAUCAAUGUGGAUUUAUUUACCUGGCACAUAAAUUCAAGAGGAUUGUCAUGA